CUAUAUAUUAAUUAUUGAACAGUUUUAUUUCAGAGUCACAUUUUAUAGAGAUGUAUUAAUACAAAGAUGGCUACUACACCCAUUUUACCGAGUGAUUUUAUAUUUUUUGAUCAAGUAAAUUCUACAACAGUGUUGCCACCAGGAAAUUAUGCAGCUAAUGUAAGCACUGAUAUAGAUCUGGGCUCUUCAUUUAAUCAGACGCAGGGCAACAUAUGUGAGCCAAUUAACAACCCUCCAUUAAUAAUAACAGCUGGAAUAAUAUCAAUGGCUGUCAUUAUUGGAAAUGGGCUUGUCAUUCUCGCUAUUAUUGGCGGAAAUUCAAGGUUUUUUCGCCCUAUGUACUGGUUCAUAGUUCACUUAAGCUUCUCAGACUUGUUAGUUGGUUUAAUGUUGUUGUGGAAUUACUGCCUGGCCGGCAUUUUCAACAUUAACAACACAUUAACAAGUUUAUCAUUCUUAUUUGGUAUUUGGGUAACCAGUGCAUGCUGUUCUGUGUUUGGUAUUCUGUUACUUGCAAUAGACAGGUAUAUGCAGGUUGUUCACAAAGCUUUGCAUAAGUUAUACUUCAACCAAUUCACUGUCGGUUUAUCCAUAUUCUUAUCAUGGCUGAUUCCUUUGCUUGGUUUCUUGGUAAUCCCAAUCUCACUAAAUCUUUCUUGCAAAGAUACAUGCAGAUGCAUUGAAGGAAAAUACAUGGAGUGCAAACCAGUGACAAUAUGCUCGCAAAUUAUACCGCCCUACACAAAGAACUAUGUCUUAGCAGUGGCGAUGUAUUUAUUCCUAAUAAUGCCUUGGCCAAUCCUAAUUUACAGUCUUAUAUUUAUUAAGGCAAGGAGAAGUACUCAAGUUUUGCGUCAAAAACUUCGUACGAGAGAUAUACGUCUCAUACACACUCUAGUGGUGAUUAUGGUCGUUCUUAUUGUAACAAUCACACCGAGUGGAGUUAUUUUAAUAAUCUUGUGGAUUACACGUUCUACAUUGUCGUAAUUGCCACGUUAAACUCACUCGCAAAUCCUGUGCUUUAUAUAUGGAGGAUAACGGCGAUCCGUGUCUCGCUCCAGAGGAGGUUCUGGUGUUUUUUCUCCCCUCCAAAACAUCCCGGGAUCGAGAGCAGAUCUUCCAGGAUUGGGAAGAAAACAACUGACAGGUUCAACUCCGACGUAGUAAGCGUUGAUGUCUCUGAAGCUAACCACAGACCAACCGAGCGCUUCCUUUUCUGCGGACGUACCAUGUUCACGUCAAAUGUUUCCGAUAUAAGCCAAGAAUCAACUCCCGAUUCCCAGAGGGGCAGUGCGCAUAAGAGCCCUUGGUCGCGUAAUAAACACGGUUUAUCUGUCGAGCUUCAGCCGGUUUUGAACCCGAAACCCUCCACUCAUUCCCCAUUAUGUCAGAAUGUAGUGGUUGAAGAAGUUUGGAGGGAGAAUAACAGUCAUUUGAGUUCCCGCUCAACUUUUCGUACGAAGCGAGUCAGUUCGGGAUCAAAUAUCGAUGAAGAACUUCCGUUGCGUCCUGUGCAAAACUGAGGUCAUGUGACAUGAUAUGCUUUAGUGAGCAUGAGGUCAUGUGACUUGUCAUGGUUCAGUGAGCGUGGGGUCAUGUGACUUGUCAUAGCUCACCAUUUUAGCACUCUAGCUUUCCUAGUGGUCAUUUUAUGUCCGCGUUUAAUUUAUCUUUAAAUUUUACCGCAUAAAUUUUAAAAGUGCAAUGUAUACCAUAAAUCUAACUUCUAAAGAAACUAAUUUAUUUAUUGUAUGAAAAAACUGAAACUACCAAAUUACGCAACCAAAGAUAAAAAAAGCACAUAAGUUCCUUAUACCAAACGUCCUAGUUAAAUGUUUUUACAUUUAUUCUUGCCUUGCGUACUAUUACACAACAUUGCUGUUUUUAAUGUUCCAAAUACGAGUUUCAUUUUCCCAAAUAUUUUUGAUUUUUUUAAACAUUUUUUUCAGUGCCCUUAUUUUUUGCAUAGUUUUUUCCUAUAAAUGGCUGCUUCAUGUAUAUUUAAAACUAGUUUUAAACUUGAUUUUGUGCUUUUUUACCUUGUAUUUUUGUCAUACAUUCGGUAAAAGUACUUUUUUUGAUGAAGUUUUUGCCUUUUACAAUAUCAAUGCAUAAUCAAGUCUAUUUUUAUUGAUCAAACAACAAUAUUCCUUUUUUAGUUUAAAAUUUUAUGUUUUCAUUAUUGCCCCAGCCCCAAUUUGGAACUGAAUAAAGAAUUAUGAAAACCAGUGCUUCUCAACCCCAAAAUAAAAAAAACUUUUUUGGUUAGGUCAUUUACUACAGUGGUUCAGAAAGCCUUCUAACUUUUUCAAUAAAACCUAAAACAUUUCAAUAUAAUAUACAGUGGGGUAAGAUGGAUACCAGUAGCACAUAAAAUCCUAUAUGUGUUAACAAUUAACAACGCUGUUUUUUUACUUGUGGGGCUACUUUUUUUACUUUUUACAAGUUUUAAAAAGGCCUAUCUUACCCCACCCUACUAUAUACUCACAAAAAAAUAAGUGAAAAAAAUAGUUUUCAAAAUUUGGUCGCCAAAAUUUUCCCAUUAAUUUUUAAUUAAAAUAUGGGUUGCUACUAUAAGGUUGAGAAGCACUGAAUAAGCCAAAGUGUAUAGGUUGUAUGAUACACUGUGGAGAAUAUGGGGUUGGCUUGUUAACUCUGUUUGUAUAACGUAGUAUUCAAUCUUCAAUGCUCUUGUAAUUGUUAAAAUUAAACGCUGUAAGCGUA